rnacentral:misc_RNA from 1 species
AAGUCGUAAUAAGGUUUCCGUAGGUGAACCUGCGGAAGGAUCAUUAGUGAAAUGCGAGGUCCGACCCAAUUCAUUUUCUCACACUGUGCACACUACUACUUUUUUACACCAUUUUUAACACUUAAAGUCUAGGAAUGUAAAAGUCUCUUAAUUGAGCAUAAAAUUGAAACAAAACUUUCAGCAACGGAUCUCUUGGCUCUCC